rnacentral:rRNA from 1 species
CUUAAAAUAGCAUACUCAUCCUGAAUACGCCCAACCUUGCCUGACUUCAGAAACUAAGCAGAGCCAGGCUUAGUUAAUACUUGGAUGGGAGACUCUUAGGGAAUACAAAGGUUCUCUAAGU